GCCGGUUUAGCUCAUCAGGUAGAGCGACGGAUUUGUAAUCCGUAGGCGGUGGGUUCGAGCCCUACAGCCGGCACCA
rnacentral:tRNA from 2 species